UAGAUAAGAUUUGGAAGCAACCUAAGUGUCCAUCAGUAGAUAAAUGGAUCAAGGAAAUGUGGUAAUUAUACACAAUGGAGUACUAUUCUGCCAUAAAAAGAAUGAGAUCUAGUCAUUCGCAACAACAUAGAUGGAAUUGAAGAUCAUACUGUUAAGUGAAAUAAGCCAGGCACAGAAAGACAAACAUUGCAUAUUCUCACUUAUUUGUAGGAACUAAAAAUCAAAACGAUUGAACUCGUGGACACACAGAGUAGAAGGAUGGUUACCAGAGACUGGAAAGAGUAGUUGGGGGUUUGGGGGGAGGUGGAAAUGGUUAAUGGGUACAAAAAUAUAGUUAGAAAGAAUGAGUAAGACCCACUAUUGGUAGAACAACAGGGUGACUAUAAGCAAUAAUAACAAUUGUACAUUUUAAAAUAAUUUAAAAAGCGUAAUUGGAUUGUUUGCAACUCAAAGGAUAAAUGCUUGAAUGGAUGGAUACCCCAUUCUCCAUGAAGUGCUUAUUCCCAUUGCAUUUCUGUAUUAAAACAUCUCAUCUACCCCGUAAACGUAUGCACCUACAUGCACCCACAAUUAAAAAAAAAUUAAAAAGCAUCAAAUGAAAAAAGAAAAUUAAAAAGAAACUACAAUGAAAGAACAUAAUGAAUAAGCACAUUUAGUGAAGUUCCUAGAUAAAAAAAUUGACAUUCAAAAUUAUAUAUGCCAGAAAUAAACACUUAGAACAUAAAUUAAAAAUAAAAAGAAAUAACAUCUACUAUAGCUUCAAGAUGUUAAAAUGGCAACAAAUUUUUAAAAAAUGGUUAGCAAGAUCUCUACAUAGAAAAUUUAAAUUAUUGAGAAAAGUUAAAAUAAUCUAAAUAAAUGGAGGGAUAUUCUAGUAUUUAUGUCACUAAAAACACAAUUGCAAAGAGAAACCUAAGGACAGAUCCCUGGGAUAUGCCAGUGAUGAGAUACUGUGGAGAAGAAAAAUCAAGAUGGACGGAGGAGAGCCUGAAAGAGGAGAAAAUCAGUGUCAACGUGGUGCUGAGAAGCUAAGCAACAUGUUAAGAACAAAAGCUUGAUCACCUGGAUCAAGGCAGUAGAUAGGUUGUUUUGGCUGUAUGAAAGUGUGUGUGUGUGUGUGUGUGUGUGUGUGUGUGUGUGUGUGUGUGUGUAUUUCAAUUCAAAUAUACUUGAUUCACACAACAAUGAUGCCACAAGCUCCAUACCCAAACAUCAGUGAUGAAAGUGACUGGACCUGAGAAAGACUUUGCCUAAGGAAACAAUGACUGAGUGCUGCUAUGGUUUGAACGUCGCCUUCAAAACUCUUGUUGAAACUUAAUCCCCAUUGUGAAAAUAUUCAGACAUUGGGCCUUAAGAAGUCAUUGAAAUCGAUUAAUCCAUUCUUGAAUUAAUGGAUUAAUGCUUAAAUAUGGAUGGGCUUGAAACUAGUGGUUUUAUAAGAAGAGAAAAACAGACAUAAGCUGGCAUGUUAGCAUGCUCAGCACUUUCCACCACGUGAUGCCCUGGUGCCACCUCAGGACUCUUCAAGAAUACCCACCAGCAAUAAGUCUCUCACCAGAUCAGCCCCUAGACCUUAGACUUAUCAGCUUCCACAACUGUAAUAAAUUUUUUUUAUUUAUAGAUAUUCAGUUUCAGGUAUUCUGUUAUAAAAAUAAAGCAGACUAAGACAGCUUCAUAAUGGACUCAUGCAAUUUAGAAGAUAUAAUGAUUUACCUUGGCUUAUCAAUUAAAAGUAUAUGUCUAGUCUUAUAGUCAAAUAAGUCAUUCAUUUCUAUUAUGCCUUAGAGACAGUAUAGAAUAUAGAAAGUAUUUGAUGUAAAUAUUUUAAAUAUCUAAUUAACAACUUGUGAUUGUAAGAUACUUGCUUACAUAACACAUACACACACAGACAUCUGGAAAUCAAGGAUUAUAGAUUUUUUAUUUAUUUCCAACCCUUGAAAGAAUUCCCUGGUAUAAAGUGGAAACCUUAAUUUGUUGAUCAAAUAACUAAAUAUUAAAAAUUAAAGACUAAAGCUUUUAAAAUGCAUUUGAAAGAUAGUUUGAUGUUUACUUUCAAUUUGUUCUGAUGUGAACUUGGCUUAGUAUCAUACAGUAGGAUUUAAUCCUGAGUAGGACUAAUUUCAUGGGUGAUGAAUUACCUGAAAAGCAUUUAAGUGGACAGUAGCUCAUAUGAUUUUAUCUUUAAUUAAAAUUGCAUAUUUUCUUGAUUGUGAAAAUUUGUGGUUAAUUGCAAUUAGCAGCAUCUUCAGAAUACACAAUGAGAAACACAAAGUGAUUCCAAUGCUACAUGUAGGUAAUUUUGAGGUAAAUUCACAGGUCUUUAUGGCUCUUAUGCAGCCUACCAUAGGCUCCAAACUUCAGUCUUUUACUUUUGUUUUAGCUCUUGCUUUAGUCUGAAUGUUGGUGUCCCACCAAAAGUUCACAUAUUGGAAUUUAGCCUCUAAAAUGAUGGUAUUAAGAAGUGGAACCUUUGGAAAGUGAUUAGGUCAUGAUAAUUCUCAUUCAUCAAAAUCACUCAUCAAAGUGAUUCUCAUGAAUGGGAUAAAUGCCCUUUUAAAAUCACUUGAAAAAGUCUGAUUAUCCUUUCUGCCCUGCCCCUUUAGCCCUGUGAGGUCAUUGUGGGAAAGCACUGUCUAUGAGGAGUGAUCCCUCACCAAAUACCAAAUCUGCCAGUGGCUUUAUUUUGGACUUGCCAACCUCUAGAACUGUGAGAAAUAAAUGCCCAGUGUUUAUAAAAUGUCCUGUGUAAGGUAAUUUGUUAUAGCAGCAAGAAUGGACUAAGACAUCCUUCUUCCAUAGUGACCAAUAUAAUUGGCAGAAAGUAUCCCCAUUGACUGGAUCAUUUUGUAGAAUAGCCACAGAUGAUUGCCCUGGUUAAAAAUUUGAGUAAAAAUGAGUCUAUGAUCCUUUAUUAGCUCUAUAGCCCAUCUGCUUUACUCUGUCAGCUAUAUUUUUCAGGAUUCUUUGUCAUUAGUCUUCUGGUUGAGUUCAGCCAAUGAAAGUCACUGGCAGGAGAAAACGGGAAGCCAGUGUAUUUUUGACACUCAUGAUCUCUUAGUGGCAAUAGUUGUUACCUGAAAUCCAAAUUUAACUAGGAGUCCUGCUUGUAAUUUAGCCCAGGAUCUCACCUGCAGACUAGCUUGCUUCUCUGUCUGUCUUCUCUGUAUCUUCAGGUAGCAAUACCUCCUCUCUUUACCCCAUUAGCCUAGUGGUGGCAACAGCUUCUAGUGUUGCCACCUCUAGGGCACCUCAUUAUAGCUUUCAUUAUUUCUGUAUUCCUGAUAGGUGGACCACGAUCAAAACAGGGAUAAUUAAUAUACAAAACUCACGAAAAAAGGUGGGGGCUAUGGAGAACCAAAUGAUAGUAUUUGACUACAUCAAAAUUAAGAAUUUCUAUUCAAGGAGUAAUAAGUUCUGAUGUACUAUUGCACAAUAGGGUAACAAUAGUCAGCAAUAAUGUAUUGUAUACUUCAAAAUAAUAAGAAGAGAAAAUUUUGAAUGUUCUCAUCACAAAGAAAUGACAAUUGUUUGAGGUAAUAGAUAUGGUAAUUACACUGAUUUGAUCAUUCCACAACAUAUAUGUAUAUUGAAACAUCAAACUGUACCACAUAAAUAUGUAUUAAUAUAUUAUGUCAUUAAAAACAAAA
rnacentral:lncRNA from 1 species